UACAUACAUAUGUAUGUAUAUCAACCUCAUUUUUCAGCUGGGAUCUAUUCAUACGGAGUACAAGCGCAAAACAAAUUACCAUUGAACAGCAAAACAAAAACUACAUGAGCAAACAAACAAUGCAUUCGCAUUUUUUUUGCAUUCCAACAAAGUGCACAAACAAAAUACGAACCGCUAUACAAGAACAUACAUGAUCAAAGCAUAAUCAGUGCAGUUGACAAUGGAAAAUUUUCGUGUGUGGUCAACAGCUAAAACACGUGUUCGGAUCAUUGUUCGCGUACACAGGCAAUUGUUAAAGUAAAGAAGGUUUGUGCAAGAAUUCGGGUUUAUUAUAUAAAACUGCGUUUAAUCGGUGCUCGGUGUUAUUAAUAAGUUAAUUUGAAUAAUUAAAAGUGUGAUCUAUAAAGUGAAUUAGUGUAUGUAUGCAAGUGUUAAGCAAAAUAAGAAAUGGAAAGAAGGGGAAAUAAGUGAAAAGUGUUUAAAUGUAAAGUAUAAUAAAAUUAGUGCCAAUAAAGUGUAAUUAUGUGAAGCAAAAUUAUUCAAUUAUUCAUGUUUUUGAAAAAAAUGUAUGGCCUUUUGGUAGAUUGCUUCGAAAUAAUAGUAUUUGUGUUACUCCAUCGUGCGCUUGUAGCCUUCGUAGGCAUUAAUAAAUAACAAUCAUUUCAUCAUUCAGCUAAAUUAUCUAUGUACGUACUUAUGUACAAGAAAUACCAACAUCUAAAAGAGGCGUGUGUAUUAUUUGCGGAGGUGCGGUUAACACAUUUCUAUAUAACAAAUCGCAGAAAGUAAAAAGUGUAAUGUGUAAUGUGUGUGUGUGUGUGUUAAAGCUGUAAACAUAGUGAAGCAUCGCAAAUACCGUUAUUUAUCUUGGAGCAUAGCUGCUCCCCAUCUGCGUUAACUUAUGUGCAGCUUGUGUUGUCUUUGUGUGACCUUUGAUUGCCGGUCGAUAUUUGCUUUACGCUUCCAUGGCUCAAGUAUACAAUUACAACAACAACAACAAGAUUCCAAUUUCCAACACUAAAUGUAACUUCGCAGGCCUUGACGCUGACAUUUUGAAAGUUCUGAUCGUUUCUAACAAUCGUACUCAUACAUGGAAGCGUACAAGUUGCGAAUACACUGUAUUGACAAACGAGAGCCUCCCAGCACAAUUAUUUUUACCAAAUUUACAUGGUGUAAACGCGGCGAAGCGAAGGCGUGCAUUGAUUAGUACCAGAUUUUCACACUUGCGCUCAGAAGGUUUCUUUAGACGUUGAGAUGGCGCACGCAUACAAAUCCUUUUCCAGCAUUGACAUGUUAAAGUCUAAACUUGACGCAACGCCAUCGCAUGCCCGCUCCAACUAAAACGAACUCUUCAAACUCGCUUAUAUGCAAAAGCACUGCAGCACGCUGAUUGCCGAGAUAUUACACACAAAUCAAGCCACAUGUGGAGAAGCUGCGCUUCAUUAUUCAUUAUAUAACCACAUCUCUGUAUUUUGUAAUAAUUAAUACUUUUUUUAAGAUAAACAAAACAAAAUUAAAAAGAAGAAAAAUAGAUAAUUAAAACAGUCGAAGGACAUUCAUGC
rnacentral:lncRNA from 1 species